UAUACUGGGCUCCCGUCGUAGUCAUGGUGAUCACACCCUCUACUCUCUCCGCAGCCACCGAAUCACCACCUCCGGCUUCUCGCUUUAGAAGGGAUGUAUCUGCAAUACAAGCACACACACAUUGUAAACAGCAUUCAACUGAAUAUCAAUAACGUCUUCUUGACUAAUCAGGGAGAGGGAAAAGCUUUCCGAGAAGGUAGACAUAAAAUCUGCAGCUUGAGUUGGAAACAAGUAGUGAUAGUUUGCUGGUGUUAAUGGGCAAGAAGAUGUUUGAUCAUUUUGGAUAGACAAUAUCAUCUAGCUGAUUCUAGUAAAUAUUUUUGGAGUUAGGUAUAUAAAAUGAAAAAAAGAUUUUGCCAUAAAUGAGUUCAAGAAAGUUUGGGUACAAGGGUGUUGCCUUGGUAACAACUAACACCUUUAUUAGAAUCAGAUGGUAAUACUCAGCACUAUGGUACAUACAACUCUCUACUUCAAAAGGAAGUGGAAAUUACUAUCUGUUUGUUGUUGACUGCGUUCAUCAUUUUUCUAAUAUACAUGGAUUCAUCAUUCAGAAAUCGUUCAAGGCUUGCUGUUAUGUGAUAUAUUUAUUAUGACAAUGUAGUAUACUACAUGUGAUACUGAAAUAGGCAGUUCCAUGUUAAAAGAAAGUAUGUUUUCACAUGUAUACUCUGAGAGCUACAAGCAAGGUAUCUUAUUACAUAACAAGACUAGGAUAAUUAGGUAAUUUAAUCUGUGAUUUCCCUUCUAGCAGUAACAAUGAGGAGGAUCAGAAUAGCAUGCGCCAGUAAUUGCCAACCAUUGAGAUAAAUGUUGGCGAUUCAGAAUACCAACAAAAAUUCUUUCCAAUAAUUUCAAAGGAUAUCGGAAGUCUUUUGAAUGUUGGAAGCUGCUUCUACACAAUAGCAGUAAAAAAAGGACACUAUAUUGCCGAAGCAUCAGUUUUUUUGCAGAUACGGAUCAUGGAGCAGGAUUAACAGCUGAUAUGGGUCUAGUCACAUACUACAAAAUUAUGAUAAUUCAUCUCCUUCACAUGAAUUCAAAUUUCUUAGAAUAAACAUAAAAUUCAGAGUAUAAUUUUUUGUUGUUGGUUCGUCUAAAACAUAUUUUGCCAACACCCAUAACAUUAGGUUUGUCAGAUAUCAAAUGUUUGUGGCUAAUCCUAGGUCAAAGUAAUGUAUCAUAAAUUGAUGCAGUGACAGUGGGACGUUUAACUUAUUUUGUACAUAAAGUAUAACAAGGAGAAAUUUCCUCUGAAAAUUUAUUAGGUAAUUCAUAUAACAAAGAAUCGAUUGUUCAUUAAUGGAAUUACCACAAGCGAAUGGUUUCUAAAUCAACAAGACCAUGAUAUUAAGACAGUAUUUCAGCAUAAAAUAAUCCAUUUUAUAGGGAUUCCAAUUUUGCCAUGUAUAAAGUGAGGUAGCUUGCAGUACACGACUGU